CAACCGAGAGACAGACAGCAGACGAGUGAGCGAGAAGAAGAAAGUCUUGUUUGGAGGAAAGUUGGAGCCGGGACAGGCAACACAGAAAGAUGUUACUGUCUGUUCUGUGGCUCUACCGUGACAGCUUCCCUAGGCUUUUGUUGUGUGUGCGGCAAAAACAUUAAAUUUCUAAAAGAUGUGGCAAACAAUCCACCAGAGGAGAUGCCCACCAGUGCACAUCCUAAUGCACAGCCAAGCACUUGUGCAGAUGGAAAAACUUCCGAAUCAGAUCCUCUUCUGUGGGCCUGUCCGAUGCUGACCCUGACAAACAAAGGGAGAAAAAGAUAAAGAGACAGCAUUUUUCAGCAAGAACAGGCUGCAGCACAUUAUCCAGUCUGCAGAGAAGACCUUCAGCUGCAAUCUGCCGUCUCUUGUGGACCUGUACACAUUGGGCCUCAUUCUGCAAACAAAUUCAGAACUUCCUCAGACCAUGUGUAUGCACAAAUUAUGACAGCCUGGCUGUCUUACAAAAUAUUGAAACUUGCCUUUUAACUAAAUGUAAAGCAUAUCAAAACCACAUUCAUUAAAAAAACUUUAAUAGAA